rnacentral:rRNA from 1 species
GCUAGUAAUGGCAGGUCAGCAUACUGCCGUGAAUACGUUCCCGGGCCUUGUACACACCGCCCGUCACACCAUGAGAGUUGGGGAUACCCGAAGCCUGUGAGCUAACAGUAAUGGAGCAGCAGUCGAAGGUAGAAUCAAUGAUUGGGGUGAAGUCGUAACAAGGUAGC